GUUUCCUUUUGCAUGUCGACGAGUGCACAUCGCAGUCUCGUAGUACGCAUUCUGUGGAAGUAAUAGAGAAGAGUCAAUAAUGAAAUUGUGGAGUGGGGAUACUGGGCUUCCUGAGAUGACAACAAAGUCACGCGUUCGACCGAUUUUAAUAGUUAAUGGUUCAGUCUUGCUACGAAUUUCGACGAGUACACAUCGUAGUUCUCAUAGUACACAUUUUCCACAAAUAAUAACAAAGAGUUAAUAAUGAAAUUGUGGAGUGGGGAUACUGGGCUUCCUGAGAUGACAACAAAGUCGAGCGUUCGACCGAUUUUAAUAGUUAAUGGUUCAGUCUUGCUACGAAUUUCGACGAGUACACAUCGUAGUUCUCGUAGUACACAUUUUCCACAAGUAAUAACAAAGAGUUAAUAAUGAAAUUGUGGAGUGGGGAUACUGGGCUUCCUGAGAUGACAACAAAGUCGAGCGUUCGACCGAUUUUAAUAGUUAAUGGUUCAGUCUUGCUACGAAUUUCGACGAGUACACAUUGUAGUUCUCGUAGUACACAUUCCCUACAAGUAAUAACAAAGAGUUAAUAAUGAAAUUGUGGAGUGGGGAUACUGGGCUUCCUGAGAUGACAACAAAGUCGAGCGUUCGACCGAUUUUAAUAGUUAAUGGUUCAGUCUUGCUACGAAUUUCGACGAGUACACAUCGUAGUUCUCGUAGUACACAUUUUCCACAAGUAAUAACAAAGAGUUAAUAAUGAAAUUGUGGAGUGGGGAUACUGGGCUUCCUGAGAUGACAACAAAGUCGAGCGUUCGACCGAUUUUAAUAGUUAAUGGUUCAGUCUUGCUACGAAUUUCGACGAGUACACAUCGUAGUUCUCGUAGUACACAUUCCCUACAAGUAAUAACAAAGAGUUAAUAAUGAAAUUGUGGAGUGGGGAUACUAGGCUUCAUGAGAUGACAACAAAGUCGAACGUUCGACCGAUUUUAAUAGUUAAUGGUUCAGUCUUGCUACGAAUUUCGACGAGU